AAACUGACGUUCUUGAACUCCUUUAAGAUGAAGAUGUCUGUUAUCCUUGGUAUCAUCCAUAUGCUGUUUGGAGUCAGCCUGAGUCUGUUCAACCAUAUCUAUUUCAAGAAGCCCCUGAAUAUCUACUUUGGAUUUAUUCCUGAAAUAAUCUUCAUGACCUCUUUGUUUGGUGCUGUUCUUCUUCUUCACUGCCUUUGCCACCCUGACCGUGGCCAUCCUCCUGAUCAUGGAGGGCCUCUCGGCCUUUCUCCACGCACUGCGCUUACACUGGGUUGAGUUCCAGAAUAAAUUCUACAGCGGGACCGGUUUCAAGUUCUUACCCUUCUCCUUCGAGCAUAUUCGGGAAGGGAAGUUUGAAGAGUGAGUCCCUGUGAGGGCCGUGUGCCCCAUGCUACCCUCCCCGCCUCCCUCCACAGUGAUCAGCUGUGCCUCUCUGCCUGUUGGUUGUGAUCUGUGGGCACCAGCUCAUUCGUGUCACCCUGUCUGUGAGUCAUUUAGAUAGAAUAGUCCUCCUUGGGUCUCCCACCACCCCUAGCUUUGUGUGUAGUGUAGUGAUUUUCUGGCUGUCACUCAUACUCACUGGGCACCAGCCUUGCCCUCUUAGCCUCCAUCCAUCCAGACAGCCCUUCCCACCUCCUGGUGGUGAGCCAGUCUGC
rnacentral:lncRNA from 1 species